AACUUUCAACAACGGAUCUCUUGGCUCUCGCAUCGAUGAAGAACGCAGCGAAAUGCGAUAAGUAAUGUGAAUUGCAGAAUUCAGUGAAUCAUCGAAUCUUUGAACGCACCUUGCGCUCCUUGGUAUUCCGGGGAGCAUGCCUGUUUGAGUGUC
rnacentral:rRNA from 1 species